rnacentral:rRNA from 1 species
UACGUAGGAUGCAAGCGUUGUUCGGAAUUACUGGGCCUAAAGAGUACGUAGGCGGUUUGGUAAGUCUGAUAUUAAAGACCGGAGCUCAACUUCGGGACUGUAUCGGAAACUGUCAGACUAGAGGACAAUAGAGGAAGUCGGAAUUCUCAGUGUAGCGGUGAAAUGCGUAGAUAUUGGGAAGAACACCAGUGGCGAAAGCGGACUUCUGGGUUGUUACUGACGCUGAGGUACGAAAGCGUGGGGAGCAAACGGG